GACAGAGGGUGCAAACGUUGCUCGGAAUCACUGGGCGUAAAGGGCGUGUAGGCGGGAAGGAAAGUCAGAUGUGAAAUCCCUGGGCUCAACCCAGGAACUGCAUUUGAAACUCCCUUUCUUGAGUGUCGGAGAGGAAAGUGGAAUUCCCGGUGUAGAGGUGAAAUUCGUAGAUAUCAGGAGGAACACCGGUGGCGAAGGCGGCUUUCUGGACGACAACUGACGCUGAGACGCGAAAGCGUGGGGAGCAAACAGG
rnacentral:rRNA from 1 species